rnacentral:rRNA from 1 species
AUAACAUUUGGAAACAGAUGCUAAUACCGCAUAACAAUUUGAAUCGCAUGAUUCAAAUUUAAAAGAUGGUUUCGGCUAUCACUUUGGGAUGGACCUGCGGCGCAUUAGCUUGUUGGUAGGGUAACGGCCUACCAAGGCUGUGAUGCGUAGCCGAGUUGAGAGACUGAUCGGCCACAAUGGAACUGAGACACGGUCCAUACUCCUACGGGAGGCAGCAGUAGGGAAUCUUCCACAAUGGGCGCAAGCCUGAUGGAGCAACACCGCGUGAGUGAAGAAGGGUUUCGGCUCGUAAAGCUCUGUUGUUAGAGAAGAACGUGCGUGAGAGCAACUGUUCACGCAGUGACGGUAUCUAACCAGAAAGUCACGGCUAACUACGUGCCAGCAGCCGCGGUAAUACGUAGGUGGCAAGCGUUAUCCGGAUUUAUUGGGCGUAAAGCGAGCGCAGGCGGUUUGAUAAGUCUGAUGUGAAAGCCUUUGGCUUAACCAAAGAAGUGCAUCGGAAACUGUCAGACUUGAGUGCAGAAGAGGACAGUGGAACUCCAUGUGUAGCGGUGGAAUGCGUAGAUAUAUGGAAGAACACCAGUGGCGAAGGCGGCUGUCUGGUCUGCAACUGACGCUGAGGCUCGAAAGCAUGGGUAGCGAACAGGAUUAGAUACCCUGGUAGUCCAUGCCGU